ACGCUCGACACCUACGGGAGGCAGCAGUGGGGAAUAUUGCACAAUGGGGGAAACCCUGAUGCAGCGACGCCGCGUGAGCGAAGAAGUAUUUCGGUAUGUAAAGCUCUAUCAGCAGGGAAGAAACUGACGGUACCUGACUAAGAAGCACCGGCUAAAUACGUGCCACAGCCGCGGUAAUCUGAGCGGCUGGCAAGGC
rnacentral:rRNA from 1 species